rnacentral:rRNA from 1 species
UGGGGAAUAUUGGGCAAUGGGCGCAAGCCUGACCCAGCAAUGCCGCGUGAACGAAGAAGGUCUUCGGAUUGUAAAGUUCUGUCCUAUGUGAAGAAGAAAGUGACGGUAACAUAGGAGGAAGCCCCGGCUAACUACGUGCCAGCAGCCGCGGUAAUACGUAGGGGGCAAGCGUUGUCCGGAAUUAUUGGGCGUAAAGGGAGCGUAGGCGGCCCCGCAAGUUUUAUGUGAAAUCCCCGGGCUUAACUCGGGUGUUGCAUAAAAAACUGCGAGGCUAGAGUACAGGAGAGGCAAGUGGAAUUCCUAGUGUAGCGGUGAAAUGCAUAGAUAUUAGGAGGAACACCAGUGGCGAAGGCGACUUGCUGGACUGAAACUGACGCUGAGGCUCGAAAGCGUGGGGAGC